GUUAGUGGGGUUGCUCAUGUUUGAAAAUCUGCCUUGUAAAGCUGUACCCAAAGAGUAACAAGGACAUGGCCAUAAAAGCAUAUGUAAUUCUGGAUGACCAGAGCAACCGUUCAUUAGUCAGACCAGAAUUCUUUGAGCUGUUCAAUUUGGAGAGUGAGCAGUUCACAUAUAAUCUUAGAACUUGCUCUGGAACUGUAGAAACAUCUGGCAGGAAAGCAGAAGGAUUCCAGAUUGAGUCUCUGGAUAGCAGAGUUCUCAUAUCUCUUCCACCACUCAUUGAGUGUCAUGAAAUCAUGAACAAUCGGUUUGAAAUUCCAACUCCAAAUGCAGUUCUUCACCAACCUCAUCUACGACACAUUGCCAAGCACAUUCCAGACCUAGAUCCAGAAGCAGAAAUACUUUUGCUACUAGGAAGAGAUGUGAUUAGAGCACACAAGGUCAGGCAGCAGGUCAAUGGACCAAACAACGCCCCCUUUGCUCAACGUCUGGACCUGGGAUGGGUGGUAAUAGGAGAGGUGUGCCUGGGUAAUGUACACAAGCCCACAGUCAACACAUUUAAAACCAGUGUCCUGGAAACUGGUCGUCACUCAAUUUCUCAACCCUGUACAAGCUUUAUGCAGGUCAAAGAGAAACAACAGAGCAGUGUGUUUAAAAAGGCAACUGAGAUGACACUUGGACAGACAGUGUUUUGCAAAACCGAGCAUGACAAUAAACCUGCCCCUUCUGUGGAGGACACAACCUUCUUGAAAAUUAUGGACACAAAUGUCUUCAGAAAUGAAUCUAACAGCUGGGUAGCUCCUCUACCAUUCAGAGAACCACGCCAACGCUUGCCAAACAACAAGGAGCAAGCUAUUAAUCGAUUCUCAAGCCUGCAACUAACCCUCAAGAGAAAACCUGAGAUGCAGCAACAGUAUGUGGAAUUCAUGGAAAAGAUCUUUACCAACGGACAUGCUGAGGUAGCACCACCACUAAAAGAAGGGGAUGAGUGCUGGUAUCUUCCCACAUUUGGGGUCUACCACCCCCAAAAACCCAAUCAGAUCAGAGUGGUUUUUGAUUCCAGUGCUCAUUACUCUGGCGUCUCUCUCAAUGAUGUGCUCCUCACUGACCCUGACCUGAAUAAUUCCCUUGUUGGUGUCCUGCUACGUUUUCGGAAAGAGAGGGUUGCAAUCCUAGCUGAUAUUCAGCAAAUGUUUCAUUGUUUUUUGGUGCGUGAUGACCACCGCAACUUUUUCCGUUUCCUGUGGUACAAGGACAACGAUGUCAACAAGGAAAUUAUUGAGUAUCGAAUGAAUGUCCACGUCUUCGGCAAUCGUCCAUCACCUGCCGUGGCAAUUUACGGACUACGGAGAGCCAUCAGAGAAGGUGCAAAAGAUCAUGGUGAAGAUACCAUAAAGUUUGUGGAAAGACAUUUCUACGUCGAUGAUGGUGUGGUGUCUGUACCAUCUGAAGCUGAGGCUAUCGAUUUGCUCCAACGAACACAGGCUUCAUUAGCUGAGUCAAACCUACGCUUGCACAAGUUUGCUUCAAACUCUCAGUUUGUUAUGGAAGCUUUUCCUCCUGAAGACUGUGCUCCAGUGAUUAAGGACUUAGAUCUGAGUGGAGAAACGUCUCCCACACAACGGAGUUUGGGUCUGUUAUGGGAGAUCUGACACAUUCACCUACUCUACAUCCACCACUACCAAACCAUUCACCCGUCGUGGAGUUCUCUCCACUGUCAACAGUGUUUUUGACCCUCUGGGUCUACUGGCACCUGUCACGAUCCAGGGAGGAGCCUUUCUUAGAGAACUUACCUCUGAAAGUGCAGACUGGGACACAUCCCUUCCGGAGGUCAAACUAAACAAAUGGGUGGCCUGGAGAAGUUCUCUUCAAGAGUUAGAAAAGCUUCACGUGUCACGUACAUACACUAAAACCUCACUAACUGAAGCAGUGCAUACAGAAUUGUGUGUGUUCUCUGAUGCAUCAACCAAGGCCAUAGGUGCUGUGGCAUACCUGAAAGUGCUUCAGAAAGAUGGGCAAGUUGAAGUAGGGUUUGUUAUGGCAAGGCGAAACUAGCACCCCUGUCCGAACCUACAAUUCCCAGGCUUGAGCUGUGUGCGGCUGUCUUAGCAGUUGAGAUGGCAGAUCUCAUUAAGGAUGAGCUAGAUCUGGAAUUAAAUGACAUAAAGUUCUUUACAGACAGCAAAGUGGUCCUUGGCUACAUUUAUAAUGAGUCAAAGCGAUUCUAUGUGUAUGUUCACAAUAGAGUCCAGCGCAUCCGACAGUCCUCAAGACCUGAGCAAUGGCACUACGUACGUACUGAGGAAAAUCCAGCAGAUCAUGCGUCGCGAUCCUUACCUGCAUCAUGCCUGGCGCAGACUUCCUGGUUCACCGGUCCCUCCUUCCUUCGACAGCCACCUGCAGAAAAAACAAAAUCAAGUAAAGUGUUUUAGCUAAUUGAGCCUGAGAAUGAUGCAGAAAUUCGUCCUCAAAUACAAACAUGUGCUACUUACCUGGAGGAAGCUGGACUUAUAUCUACCAGAUUUCAAAGGUUCUCCACCUUCACCUCUUUAGUAAGAGGAGUAGCGCUUCUAGUUCAUGUCGCAAAAUCCUUCAAACACUCAAACCAAAACAGCAACUGCAAGGGUUGGCACAGAUGCGACUUACCACGUACUCCAGAUGAGAUGGACCAAGCAAGGAAUGUUGUGCUUAAAGCAGCACAAAAAGCUGCAUUUGCAAAAGAGCUGUCAGCACUGCUAGCUGACCAACCUGUAUCCAAAAGGAGCCGCUUGCGUAAACUCAACCCAAUCAUGGAAGCUAAUUUCAUUUGUGUUGGAGGAAGAUUAAAGCACUCUGAGAUAUCAACUGCCGAAAAGAACCCGAUAAUUCUCCCUAAAGAAAGCCACACAUCUUUGCUGCUCAUUCGACAUCAUCAUGAGCAAGUAAAACAUCAAGGCCGUCAUCUGACAGAGGGAGCAAUCAGGGCAGCAGGACUGUGGAUCUUAGGAGCCAAGUCGCUAAUAAACUCAGUACUUCACAAAUGUAUAACCUGUCGCAAGCUGCGUGGAAAGUUUGAAGAGCAGCACAUGGCGGACCUGCCAUCUGAACGUCUCAAAAUCUGCCCUCCCUUUACAUACGUGGGGCUUGAUGUAUUUGGACCCUGGUCUGUCACUACCAGACGCACCAGAGGAGGACAGGCAGAGAGCAAAAGGUGGGCAAUCAUGUUUGGUUGUAUGAGCUCGAGAGCUGUGCACAUCGAGGUCAUUGAAUCUAUGGAUGCAUCAAGUUGCAUAAAUGCUCUCAGGCGGUUCUUUGCAUUAAGAGGUCCUGCAAAACAGCUCCGCUCCGAUUGCGGUACUAAUUUCGUUGGGGCAUGCAAGGAACUUGGAAUGGACAAGAUGGUACAGAGGUAUCUCAGCGAGCAAGGAUGCAGUUGGGAAUUCAAUCCACCUCACAGCUCGCACAUGGGAGGCUCAUGGGAGCGCCUGAUUGGCAUUGCAAGGAGAAUUUUAGAUUCAAUGUUUCUGCAGCUAAAAGCUCGCUUAACCCAUGAAGUUCUUUGCACACUACUAGCAGAAGUUACUGCUAUUAUUAAUGCACGGCCACUUUUACCGGUGUCUGCAGACCCGCAACAACCAUUCAUACUUUCACCUUCAGUGCUCCUUACACAGAAGACAGGAGUUCCACCUCCCCCUGGAGAUUUCUCUGACAAGGACCUGUAUACAAAGCAAUGGAGACAAGUUCAGGCGCUUGCAAACCAGUUCUGGACACGCUGGAGCCGUGAAUACUUACCUUGCUUGCAACACAGACCGAAGUGGACAGUACCUCGCAGAAACCAUCAAGUGGGAGAUGUAGUUCUGCUCAGGGAUAAGCAGAUAGCCCGCAACUGUUGGCCCAUGGCCAGAGUUUCUGCUGUAUUCCCAGGAAAGGAUGGAUAUGUGAGAAAGGUUGAGGUUUCAACAACUGACCAAGGGAAUAUAAAAACCUUUCUAAGGCCAAUUUCAGAGGUUGUUCUGCUUCUACCCAAAGACUGAUCUGGAAAUUAGUGUAUGGCCCAGUUCAUAGUGACCUUACAUAGGUCAGGUGGGGAGUGUGUUGCCCUUUAAGAAGUUUUGCUUUAAAAUAUCUUCUAUAAAUAUUUUAUAUGCAUAUUUCCUUUGUCAAAAUGUGAAAUUCAUAAUUUAUUUAAUUAAUCUACUUCGUGUGUAAAAAGGAAUACCUUUAUUUUGCAUUAUAACAUACUUCCUGUUUAGUCACUUCCUGUUAGUGUUCCUGGCUUUUUGUGGAAGCCAUGUCAGACAUGCGCUCUCUCGGACAAUCUAAGCCAUCCGCUUAAACUCUUCAUAGAGGCAAUGCCUUUUCACCAUAAAUGCUAAUAAGAAGAGUGACAGUAAACGAUCAAACUUGCUACGACUCUGUCUUCAUUGGCUAUGGUUUAACUUGGUGUUUAGUCAGUCACAACACACUGCACGAGAACACUACAUGCGUAGUAUAAUGUUAAGGAAAUAAAUUAUUCCAUUUUGGAAUAAGGCUGUAACAUAAAAAUGUGGAAAAAGUAAGCGAUAUGGAUACUUUCGGGAUGCACUUGUACAUAAACACAUACAAAUAUAUUUAACAAUAUAUAAGGAAAGU